GUUUCCUGUGUGCCCACUGUGUGCCAGGCGCUGAGGACGGCCCUGGAGAGAGAAAGUGUACAGGCCCUCAUGUGCCAAGGAGGUCUGUCUGGCCAACUCCCUUCCGUAAGUGUCACCUCCCCUGGGAAGCCACCUUCUCCUCACUCAGCUGGCCUCUCUGCUCCAUUACAGCUGUCCUCUAGUCUCUUGUCCUCGUCUCCUUUCAGAUGGUCUCCCCACAAGCUGAGCGCCCCUCCAGGGCAGGGCUGCACCUAAUUCUUCCCUCUGCCGAACGUGUUCCCUGAGGGGCCAAGAGAGUGAACUAACCAAUGAACGAAUGAGCCCCAGGGCUCCGAGAGCCCAAGGCCCACCUCACUCUGUCUUUUACCAUCUUUUGCAGAUGGAUUUGCAGGCGCGGGAAGCAUGUGGAAGGCCGUGUUCGUGUUGCAGAGAAGGUUGGCUGCUGAGCCAGGGCGUGUCUGCAGGAGGCCUGCCAGGCUGCCCGGAUCCCCACCUCACCACCAUGGGCCACCCAGGCUGACCCGCCGGUUCCUGCUGGAGGCUCC
rnacentral:lncRNA from 1 species